UACGUAGGGGGCAAGCGUUGUCCGGAAUUAUUGGGCGUAAAGCGCUCGUAGGCGGAUCGGUAAGUCUGUGAAGAAAGACCCGGGCUCAACUCGGGGAACGGCAUAGAUACUGCUGAUCUUGAGACAGUCAGAGGAUGAUGGAAUUCCAGGUGUAGCGGUGAAAUUCGUAGAUAUUCGCAGGAACACCAGUGGCGAAGGCGGCUCACUGGUCCGAUACUGACGCUGAGGUGCGAAAGCGUGGGGAGCAAACAGG
rnacentral:rRNA from 1 species